UUUGCGAUUUCCUCCAUUUGGGCCUUUCCCAACACAGAAAUGCUUCCGAAGGACACAUAAAUCACCGACCCUUCUGGCUUCGAGUUCAGCCACUCGAGGUAUGAAGAGUCCUUUGAUUUUUGGAAAAGAUCGCCUCCAAAUGACUUGUCCGAUGGAUCCUUGCCGUCCAAGAAAGCGGACGGAAUCAAUGGCCCAACUCCAAUCAAGUUGUACUUGUCAAUUGCUUUUAAGGCUUCCGGCUCUAGUGCAUCGAACGUGUUGACUAGAAUGGUCGGAUUGGUUUCUCUUUCCAACAGCUCCAUCUGUUCUUGAAACAACGGGAGGGCGAAAUUGUACGGAUUUGUAUCCACCAUGAAGGAGGGAAGGUCUCGGCUUGUGAAAGAUAAUGGCAAACCUGGUAAUUCUAUUGAACAUGGAAGGACAUUGUUCGUACCAGAACUAGUAUUAUCCCGGAUGAGAUCUUUGUACCCGUUAAAGUAAUAGUAGUAGAUGUCGAAAACCGUGGCUGGCUGAAUCCAAAGCAGCACGCUUGGGAGGUGAAGUUCAUGUGCCAUCCCUGCCGACCAAGGGAGAAGUAAUGAGUAGACUAGGCAAGUGUAAGGGUGACCCUCGUUUGCACUUGCGACUACAAGGUCGGUAAUGGCUUGUACUCCGCGGCGCCGCAGCUCUGACAUGUAGUCGUCGAUGUUGUCGCCGGGCUUAAACCCAUCGUCGUACCCAUCAGAGAAGGGCGCAUAGGUCAAUCCAUCUGGAAUUGAGCCAUUGCCUAUACGGCGAUGGGCUGACAGACUAGUAACGUAGGUGACAUGCGCACCUGUAGUGUUGAUAAGGCGCUUGGCGAAUUGGAGGGAAGGGUUGAUGUGGCCUUGAGCUGGAAAUGUGACGAGUAGAAAGCGGUGUUGCACCAUGGCGGCGUAUGCGAUUGCCGGAGGUGCGCGGUGGAGUGUGGAGUUGUUGGAAGUAGAAUAAGUAGGUAUGUAGUUGAUUGUUGAAAAAUUUGGUACUGUGGGCUUAUAAGCUGAGUGCAGUUGAAAUUCUUGUGGGAGUAUACAUUCAAGGUGGGGAGUGCGGUGAGAGGAUGGCAAGGCUUAAAUGGGGGAUUGGGGGUAGAAAUGUGACGUUUGUGGUGAAAAAUUGAAGACGCUGGAGACAAAUUUGCCAAGAUGAGAAGGAUACUUGUGAUUGUCAAUCCAUGCAUAAUAUAUGGAUAAUGUUAGGGAAACCAUCUAUUUAAAUCAUAUGACGUACUUGUUGAGGAUUGAAUUAUUAUUUAAGUGUUGAUUAACGUGUUUAUUUUCUAUUAGUGACACAUCACUUGAUUUUUAUUUUUUUUUGUUUAUCGUUAGGUAGGAUUUUGAUCAUGAAAAUAAAAGGACAUAGUCAUCUAUUUAGGAUUGUCCAAAGGUUUAUUAAAUUCAAUAUUUGAAACCUGUUCAAGAGGUUUAAUAUUGUCCAAAACCUAGAAGAUAAAUAACUACUGAAUAGGCUUAAAUCUUGAUAGAGUAGAGGGAAAAGAAGAAUGAGGAGGCAAGUACUACGCAAAAUAAAAUCUUCAUCUUGAGAACAAAUAUGUAAAACGAUCGUGCAAAUUUUUAAGAUGCAGACUUCAAGGGCACGUAUUGAUUUGAUAGGUUCAUGACGAAGAAUACAUGAAGGCAUGCACCUGGAUGUGGAGGGUAAUGGACAUUGCUGCGUGUUGGGUAGCUAUAUGAUUGAUUUCGUAGCUAGAGAGAGGAGGAAAAGAAUGUAGAGGUCUCUUGUGGCAGGCAUAAAAGAAGACAACUUAGAAGCAUUGUUCUAAAAAGCGACAUAGGUAGGUACUACGCGGAGGCUGGGUGCCCCGAUUAGGGCUUGUGCGUUUAAAAAAUCAAUGAAGCCUCUAGGCGGUAAUUGGGCGGCUGCUUAGGCGGCCCUGAGCCUACGCAGUCUAAUUUAUUUAUUUAAUUUUUUUUUAAGUUAACGGUUUGAAGAUAAUGUUCUUGUAAAUAACUCUAAAUAUAUAUUUCAUUUUGUGUAUUCAACCAGUUGUAGUCAUUUAUAUGUUUUUAUUGCUAUAAUAAAUUUAAUUAAAAUAAAAAAAAAUAUGUCUAGACCUAGACCUGACAUUCAUGUCGUGUUUUCCGUAUUCGUGUCGUUUUUGUGCCAUACUCGAUAUCUUAACGGGUCGUGUCGUGUAACACCCGUUAAAAUAAACGGGUAAAAUGAUCCGACCCGAAAUCGAUCCGAUAAUAUUAACAGGUAAUAUGACCCGACCUGUUACCCGUUAAGGAAAAUAUAUUUUAAACCAAUAAAUAAUCAAAUGAAAAAACAUAAUACUAAAUAAGUAUAUACAUACCAUAUUGUUACAUCCAAAACAUAAAAACGUAAUUUUCUUUUAAGUAUAUUUUCAAUAACCUAAAGUCUUUAAUAGUUUUUUAAUUAAUGUAGAAGUGUAAAAAAUAUAGAAAAAAAUAUAUAAACGCUCGUAAUAACAAGCUUUACAACUUUCAUGAAGAGCUUAACUUCGAAAUUUGCUACUAUAAUCAUAUAAAUCAUAGAUCAAAAUUUAACCGUUGAUUAUUGUUUACAUUUAUGCUUCAUUGUUCUCAUCAAAUUUUAUUUUUUCAGUUUUUCUUUUUUGAAAACUUGAUCUAUUAGAGGAUGCAGGAAGAUGAACGAUUUGGAUCGUAGAUAUUAUAUUCAGAGUUUUACGUUUAGUGAAAAUAUUGCUUGAUGUUUAUAAAGUUUCUACAAACUAUAUGACAUCAACUCAUAUUUCAGUUGAUUGUAAAUAUCGAAAUGUGAUAUCAAAGAUCUGAACCGUUUAUCUUCUUACAUCCGCCAGAUGAUUAUGUUUCAAAAAAGAAAAUUUUAAAAAUGAAAUUCAAUAAGAAGAAUAAAGCGUAAAUGGCAAUCGACGGUUAAAUAUAAAUUUAAGAUUUAUGAAUUAUAGUGUUGGAUUUCGAAGUUGACCCCUUCAUGAAAGUUGUAAAGUUUGUCACUAUGAGUGAUUGUAUAUUUUUUUUUUUACAUUUUUUUACACUUCUACAAUAAUUAUUAUUAAUUUUAUUAAUUUUGUCCUCAAAUAAAAAACAUUAUUUAUGAAGGUUUGGAGGAUUUUAAAAAUCUAAACGAUAAUGUAAGUGUAACCAUUAUCUACUCGUGGAAGAAUAAUGAUGAAUCAUGAGUGUUUAUAUAUUCUUUCACAUUUUUCAUACUUGUAUGUAUGUCUUCUUAGUUCUUGCCUAUACAAAUACUAUAUUAGUUUAUUUUAAUUUUGGACAACAACAUGUUAAGUAAAAUUUAUCCUAGUAAUGAUAAUAACGAACUCUCAUAAUAAAAAUAAAUAAUGACUAAAACUUUUUUUUUUUAAACUUAUAUAGAAUAAUAAUACAAAACUAUAUAUUUAAUAUAGAAUAUAUUGUAUAUAUUAAUAUGGCUAUUGUAUUUUAUAAUAAAUCUUUUAGUAAUUAAACUUUAAAUUAUCAAAAUAAAUUUUUUCUUAAUGGAUCGAAAUGACCACGUGUUAUCCGCAUGUAUACCCAUUAAGAACCCGUUAUUAAUGGGUUCUUAACGGGUCAUUCGAUAAUGACCCAAUAAGUUAUCGUGUUGACCCGAAACCCGUUAUUUUCGUGUCGUUUUCAUAUCGUGUCAGAAACUGCUGGGUCUAACUAGACCUUGCGACCCCGCCUAGGCCAAUCCCAUUAUUGGUGACUAUUUAGCUCUUCCAGCAUCUACCUGAUAAUAGUAUAAAAUGAAUACUCAGAUAGGGUGCCAUGUGUCAAUGGAUUAGUAGGGUUGGUAUAAGGUAGUUAAAGGUUGUUGAGAUUGUAGUGAUUUAGUGUGCAAGCAAGCUUUGUUAGUUAGAAGAAGAAUAUAUAACAGUUUGUAAGAAUUGUAUUACUCAUUAGAAAAUAUACAAGAAUUCAUUUUCCCUCUAUUUCUCUCUAUUAUCUCUCUCUCUCUCUAAAAACCUUCAUUGUUUUUCUGCAUUACUGCAACAUAAUCUGUUGCUUUACAUGGUAUCAUUCGCCUGUCAAUUUGAUCUUGGAUUUUGUGCUUUUGCCGCUCAAGAUCUUCUCCUUCUUUACUUCUGGAUCUCAUAAUUCUAAAAGUUUCUGAUUUUCUCUCCAUCUUGGUCAUGCACUCUAGGUAUUUGAUCAUAUCUCAUUCAUAAUUCUUCAAAGAAAAGCUACAAUGGUGAUUGCCAAUCAACUACAAUUCGUGCAAUCACCUAUCAUAUCUCUUAUCUCUAUCGUUUCUACGUCUGUUAAUGUCAAGCUCGAUGACUCCAACUAUCUUACUUAGAAUUUUCAGAUCCAGUUGCUACUCGAAAGCCAUGGAAUUAUGGGGUUCUUAGAUGAGUCUAAUCCUUGUCCUGAAAGAUUUGUUUCAUCUGGUUCAGGGGAAUCUAAAGUCGAUUAUAGGGAUUCAUCAUUAAGAAUUGAAACUGAUGCAUACAAGAUUUGGAAAAUGCAUGAUCGUGCCUUGAUGCAACUCAUUACUAUUACAUUAUCUUCAUCAGUUGUGUCUUGUGCUAUUGGAAGCACAAGUGCUCAAGAUUUAUGGAUUCGGCUCAAAGAACAGUUCUCUAUUGUCAAUCGUGCAACUAUAUUCCAAAUGAAAUAUGAGUUGCAAAAUAUCAAGAAAGGCACUGAUUCAAUAUCUCAGUAUUUGCAGAGAAUCAAUGAAGCUUGAGAUUAUUUGGCAGCUGCAGGAGUAUACUUCGAAGAUGAUGAUAUUGCCAUAUUAGCACUUAAUGGCUUACCAGGGGAGUACAAUACUAAAAGAUCUAUCAUUAGAAGUAGAGAAAGUGUUAUCUCUAUCAAAGACUUGAGAUCCCAGUUGCUUGAUGAAGAAGGAAUGGUUGAAAAUACUAUUGUUACUCCAUUUCUCUCUGCAAUGGUUGCCCAGAAUUCUGAGUCCAGUUCCAAGAACUCAUCUAUCUCAUCCUAAGAGUAUUCUGGUAAUCACAAUCAAGGAUUUUCUGGCAAUUCAAGUUAAGGGUAUUCAAGUAAUCAAUCUCAUGGCUUUUCUGGUGGGGGCAAUCAGGCUACCUACUUUGAGAAUAACUAUAACAAGAACAAGGGCAGAGGUAAAUUCAACUAAUUCAACUAUAAUUCUAAUUUUUGCAUACUUCUGUUUUUGGCGUUCUUGGUGCACCUCCAACUUGCCAAAUCCGUGGGAAAUUUGGACAUUUUGCUGAUACAUGUGGAUUUAGAAAUACUAAUAAUGCAUUACUUGAAGGGUGUCAAAUAUAUGGCAAGAAGAACCAUACUGCUCAAUUCUGUUACUUCAUAAAUGCAAAUAUAUCUGGAAAUACUCCUUAGAUGACUGCAAUGCAUGUGGCUUCCUCACAACCUACUCCAAAUUAUAAUGCUUCUUCUUAGCAAUUCUGGCUUACAGACUCAAAAGCAACAAAUCAUUUAACUACUGACUUGCAGAAUCUAUCCUUGUCUACUCUAUUCUCAUCCACAAAGACAAUUCAAACUGCAAAUGGUGCAGGUUUACCAAUAUCACAUAUUGGAUAUUCUCUCAUUCAUACACCUAUGCAACUUUAGAAGCUUAAUUCAGUCCUAUAUGUUCUAAGAAUUACUCAGAAUUUGUUAUCUAUGCAUAGGAUUUGUCUAGAUAAUAAUUGCUGGCUAAUCUUUGAUGCUUUUAAUUUCUAGAUUCAGGACAAACCCACAAAGAGGAUUCUGUACAAGGGGCAAUGCAGUAAUAGGUUAUAUCCAAUACCAAUAUCAAGACAUGUUGCAGUUCAUCAUCAAGCAUUCAAAGCUGCAUUACUUGGAUAACAAGUUAAUUCCAGUUUCUGGCAUAGUAGGCUAGGUCACCUAUCUAAUUCCAUUGCCUUAACUAUACUUAGAAAGUCUAAUAUUUCAGUACCUUUUGAUGUAUCACCUUCACUAUGUCAUUCAUUUUUACAAGGAAAAUUUAGCAAAUUGCCUUUCUCUCCAUAUGUCUCUAAGUCUGUAAUUCCAUUUGAAGUUGUUCAUAGUGAUGUAUUGGGUCUUGCUCCCUGUAAUUCCAUUGAUGGAUAUAGAUACUACGUGACAAUCAUUGAUGAAUGCACUAGAAAUUGUUGGUUAUUCCCUUUGCAUAAUAAAAGUGAAGUGUGUUUUGUAUUCAUUGGUAUAUAUCAGUUCAUUUUCAAUCACUUUGCAGUUUCAAUUAAAACUUUACAAAGUGAUGAAGGGGAAUAUACAAGUAAAGUUUUUCAAUCUUUCUUGUUAGACAAGGGAAUCACUCAUCAAAUAUCAUGUCCUCAUACCCCUAGAACAAAAUGGGUUGGCAAAAAGAAAGCAUAGACACAUUGUUGAAACCUCAAUCCCACUGUUACAAUCUACAUCUUUACCUGCCAUUUUCUGGUCUUUUGCCUGUCAAACUGCAAUAUACCUGGAUGCCAUCAUCAACUUUACACAAUCAAUCACCAUUUGAGGUCUUAUUUUAGUAUGUUCCAGAAGUCCAACAUCUCAGGAUAUUUGGUUGUGCAUGCUUUCCAUUAUUGAAGCCUUAUACCAGUAACAAGUUACAACCAAAAACCAAAAAAUGCAUUUUUCUGGGAUAUGCAUCUAAAUACAAGGGACACAUAUGCUUUGAAAUUAGUUCAAAGAGGGUUUACAUUUCUAGACAUGUCAUAUUUGAUGAGUGUGAUUUUCCAUAUCUUUCACUUUCACAAAAAACAUAUGUACUUCCAACCAGUUCCUUUUCUAAAGCUUCUUUAAAACCAGUGUAUGUCACAAGUGAAUACAAUGUUGUUGUAGCAUUACCAAAUCUAUCUAUGUUUAUUCCUAGCCUUACACCUAGACCUGCUAGUGCCAGUGAUCAAUCUUAAACACCAUCUAAUGUCAGUGGCUUAUUUGAGACACCAUUUGGUAAUGCCACAACAACAAAAGACACAAGACAAGCCAUUACUAGCACUUUACUUCAGUUUAUCUCCUCUACAAUCCCUAUGGCUCCUGAAUUCAACCAGAAAACUUACAAGUUGUUCUGCCUAUACCUCUAUUAAACUUGCAUCCUAUGCAAACAAGGUCAAAGAAUGGAAUUAUAAAGAAGAAAGCUUUUCUAGCCAUGACAUCUAAUAAUGCAUAAGUUGAUUUAUCCCAGAUUGAACCAGUUUCAUAUAAGUCUUCUCUUAAAUCUCCAGUGUGGUUUACGGCUACGGAAGAGGAAGUACAAGCAUUAUACUCUCAGAACAUUUGGUCUUUGGUCACCUUACCAUCAAACAAAAACCUUGUAGGGUGUAAGUGGAUCUUUAAGAUUAAAAGACAUGCAGAUGGAACCAUUUCAAGGUACAAGGCUAGAUUUGUGGAUAAAUGAUUCAAUCAAAAGGCAGGUAUAUAGACUAUGGUGAAACAUUCGAUCUUGUGGUUAAGCUUACUACAGUAAGGCUUGUUCUUGCAUUGGCUACACAUUUUGGUUGGUCUAUGAGACAGCUCGAUGUAAAAAAUGCAUUUCUGCAUGGAAUCUUACAAGAAUAAGUUUAUAUGACACAACCUCUUGGCUUUGUGGAUUCUCUACACUCUACCUCAAUUUGCAAACUUCACAAGUCCUUAUAUGAUUUAAAACAGGCUCUAAGGGCAUGAAAUGAGAGAUUUACUAAUUUCUUACAUUCUCUAGGUUUCCAAACCACUUAUGCAGACACAUCACUGUUUGUCAAACAUGUUGGUUCUGAGGUGAUGAUUCUCUUACUUUAUGUUGAUAAUAUAAUCAUCACAAGGAGUGCAAAUGAUGCCAUAAGAGAAAUCAUUUCUGCAUUAGCAACAAAAUUGAUAUCAAGGAUCUAGGACCUCUACACUACUUUCUUGGCAUUCAAAUUACACAUAAUAAAGAAGGAUUUUUCUGUCUCAACAUAAAUAUGUUAAUGAUUUGUUAACAAAAACAGAAAUGCAUCAAGCAAAGCUCUGUGCUACCCCUUGCUUACCUUAUAACAGACUUCUUAAAGAUGAUUGAGUACCUUUUAACAACCCUGAGUUAUACAGAAGCAUAAUGGGAACUUUGCAGUAUCUCACCUUUACAAGACCUGAUAUUGCAUUCUCUAUGCACCAGGCCUAUCAAUUCAUGCACUGUCCUACGGAAUCACAUUAUUUGGCUAUGAAAAGGAUACUUAGAUACCUCAAAGGUACAUAGAAUUAUGGCAUUCAAUAUGUUAAAGGAGGAUUGGAGUUAAAUGCAUUCAGUGAUGCUGACUGGGCUGGGAUCCCAAUGAUAGAAGAUCCACAACUGGAUUGAAUGUUUUCUUAAGAUACAAUCCAAUAUCUUGGUCUUCAAAGAAACAAAACACAAUGUCUCGUUCAUCCACUGAAGCUGAGUAUAAAGCAAUUGCUACAACAGCUGGUAAGAUUUAUUGGAUAAGACAGUUACUUGCCUUUUUACAAAUCUCAAUCCCAACUCCAUCUACAAUGUUCUGUGACAGUCUUUCAGUUAUUGCCCUUACCUACAAUCCAAUGAUGCAUCAAAGAACAAAGCACAUAGAGAUUGAUGUGCAUUUUGUGCGAGAAAGAGUUGCCAAACAACUAAUUCAAAUGCAUUUUGUAUCUUCCAAUGAAUAAUUUGCUGAUAUUCUGAUUAAAGCAUUAUCCGCACCAUUGUUUCAUACUCAUUGCUACAAUCUCAGGCUCCGUGGUUCCUCUCCUGAGCUUGAGGGAGGAUGAUAAUAGUAUAAGAUGAAUGGUCAGAUAGGGUGCCAUGUGUCAAUGGAUUAGUAUGGUUGGUAUAAGGUAGUUAAAGGUUGUUGAGAUUGUAGUGACUCAGUGUGCAAGAAAGCUUUGUUACUUAGAAGAAUAUAUAACAGUUUGUAAGAAUUGUAUUACUAAUAAGAAAAUAUACAAGAAUUCAUUUUCCCUCUCUCUCUCUCUCUCUCUCUCUAAAAACCUCCAUUAUUGUUCUGCAUUACUGCAACAUAAUAUGUUGGUCUAAACUACCUUGUAUUUUACAUAUUGUUGGCAAUUCUAAACAAAAAGCUUGAGUAUGUAAUGUCUUAGAUUAGUAUAUGUUUUCCGUUGUAAGUAUAUUAAUUUAAAUUUGUCUCUCGUGCUCUCAAUCACAAGAAUGUCAAGCAUUUCCAAGACAUCCACUCAAGUAAGUGUGUCAUGCAUAUGCAUUUACAUAGUAUAGGCUGUUUAGUUUUGGUGUUAACAAUUAAGUUUUGGGCUUGCAUGCAUGUUAAUUAGAAUGACAUGAUUUUAGAUCGGCAGAGAAUCCUAGUUGUGCUGCUUGUCUUAGCAUGUGUUUAUAUGCUGAUAACCCGUAUGUCCUUAUCCCAUUCAGUUUUUUAUCUGGCCAGGAUGAUAGGUCCUCAUCCUACUAAUUAGGUCCGCGUUUUUGUUAUGCCUCGCAUGCAUAUCUGGUUUGGUUGAAAAACCUUAUCUUGGUUAAUAACGUGUGAUUAGGUUUUGGUUGAAAACCUUUUUGUUCUAAGUCAGCACGUUUUUUAUGAAUGUGAAAUAUAUUGCAGAAAUAUAUCAAUUAUUUAUAUGAUCAAAUAUAUCAAAUCAAAUGUAUAAUCACUGUCAAACUUAUGAACUUUAAAUUAGGAAAAAAUGAAUAAGAAUAUCUGGCAUGUGAACCAAAAAGAGGCGCGAUGUCGCUGCCCUAAAGCCGUAUAUGCCUCCCUACAUGUAGGUUAUGGCGGUGCCUACAACUCCAAGAUACAACCCAAAGCCUCACAUGCACGCCAACGGCAGAAGGGAUUGUCAAGUAGUGAUCAAUUGACCAAGAAUUAUGAAGUAGGAAUGAAAAUUGAGAUGUGAAAACUGAGAGAGACAGAAAAGUUUUAGUGUAUUUUGUUUUGUGUCUGAGGUUUCAUAUUUAAAGAACUUCUCAUACCCUUUUAGAAAAGGAUUAUGACUCUUCAAAUAAAACACAACUCUUAAAUAUUAAAAAUAAAUAAAAUAAUAAUAAUAAGUUUUGAAUCUUUAAAAUAAAAUAUUAUUAAAAUAAUUAAAAUAACCAACAAUGAUUUGAUUGGAUGCCUAUAUAUAGGCAUUAGAUUAGGCUUUUAGGCCUCGUUUGGCACGCCGUAUAAGACCACCGGUGUAACAUCCCACAUUGACUAACGGAGAAGGGAUGAUGUGCCUUAUAUGUACAUGCCCACCUCCUAUAGCAUGAGGCUUUUUGGGGCCUCACUGACUUCAGAUUCUAUUGGAACUCAGUAGUUAAGCGAGUUUGGGCAAGAGCAAUCCUAGAAUGGGUGACCCCUAGGAAGUUCUUGCGUGAGUUCCCAGAAACAAAACUGUGAGGGCAUGGCUGGGGUCCAAAACGGACAAUAUCAUGCUUCGACGAAGUCGAGACUGGGAUGUGACAAAAUGGUAUCAGAGCCACUCUACCAUUCGGCGCAAGUGUGCCGACAAGAACGUCGGGCCCCUAAGGGGGGUGGAUUGUAACAUCCCACAUCGACCAACGGAGAGGGGGUGAUGUGCCUUAUAUGUACAUGCCCACCUCCUAUAGCAGGAGGCCUUUUGGGGACUCACUUGCUUUAGAUUCCAUUGGAACUUUGAAGUUAAGCGAGUUCGGGCGAGAGCUUCUCGAGUAGUUCGGGUGAGAGCUUCUCGCGUGAGUUCCCAGAAACAAAACCAUGAGGGCAUGACCAAACAAUAUCGUGCUACGGCGGAAUCGAGACUGGAAUGUGAUAACCAAAUAGUAUUAAUAGUACGAAACAUGUGUUUUGUGAGCUUCAUAUUAAAUAAGCACCGGAUUUUUUAAUCCAGGCCCACUUAUUUUAUACACCUCCAACCCGCUUGUUUAUCCCAACCAAAACCUUUGGAUAAUUAGUCGAGUAGAAUGGCUCUCUUUGCUUACUCCGUCAUUCUCUAUCGCUUCUUCGUCCCUCUCCUUCUCUCGCAACACUCUCCUUCCACUUUUUCACAUCGCCUGCACUCUCUUGUCUGGAUCCCAAGUUCAUCUUCGCCCUUCUUCUUCUUUUCUCUCUUUGUUCCUCCUUCCUCCUUACACACACACACACACACACACACCUCCCACCUACUCCAUUCGCCUUCGAUCUCUGACAAGUGACAACAAAACCUUCCAUAGGUUGAAGGAGGAAGACGAUGAUUCGAAUUCUUCCAAUUUGGAUUCUGACAAAGAAGGGAGCCGGGCUCCGACGAGGACGGGGAUAGCAAUUCGGAUCUGGGCUCUGACGAGGAGCCUGUUGGUUUAUUACCAUUGAAAAUAUUCAAUCUGGGAUUUUAAUUUUGGUUGGUGAAUCGAUGAGUGGGUUUGUAUGGAGGGUGGGAUUUGAUAAGUUAUAGUAAAUAUUUCUGGUAUUAUUUUGGGUAUUUACCAUUUGGAAGAGAAUUACUCCAGCGUGGAACACAGGUUUACUGUCAAAUCUUGUUCUUAUGUUCAAUGCAUCUGGUUCUUUAGCAUGUAUUUUUCGAACUUGUUUCUUCCUGCCAAAUAACAAAAGGCAUGAAAUUUAUUAUGAAUGCUUUGUGAAUGAGUUGCCUUGCUGAGCAUUUUCACAUUAUUGCCUCUUAUUAUGCAGGUUGUGUUGGCAGCUAAUGACUUGCCUUCUAUCAAUGAUGUAACUUACACUGAACUAAUUGAGAUUAUAUCAAUGAUGUAUCUUCCCUUUUCUUAUCUGGUUCAAUAUCAAACACGGUAUAAAUAAUACGAUCAUUAGUCCGAUACUGCACCAAAUGCCCGACUAAUUUAAUCAGUAUUAUCCGUAAUUUAAUCAGUAUUAUCCAGUGGCUAUUUAUCCUAUCCAACAGAAAUAGUCAGUACAUUCCGAGCUGCCAAACGAGGCCUAAGGUUUGCUGCUGCCGCAUAUAACACAUACAGGUAGAGAGGAUUAGUGCACGCGCUAGGUUUUUAGAAGUGAUCAUCAUAUCAUAAUCUUUGCUACUGUAGCGUGCAUUAGACUAGGUGGUUUUGGAAUGCUGCUUUUGAGUUUUGAAAGAAAAUAUACAAAAUAGAUGCAGCACGUGAAUAUGUUUUUGAGUUUUUGGGUUACUUCAUAUAGGAACGGCUAUCGUUUCCAUCUCAUUGUUUUGAUGGUUCUCAGGUCAAUGCAUAUUCACUACAAGUGUAGUCCUUAUUAUUUUAUCUGGGUUGUCUCGCAUAGUAAUAUUUGCACAGAGAACAUUAUACGAGUGUUGCAGCAAUAGUGUGUGAGGAAGAAAAGAGUUUUCAGCCGUGUGGUUUUAAAAGAUAAAAUUCAGUUUUUCUUUAUUGAUUUUCGUUGUGCUUUAAACCGAGACAAAUUAUGAAAAUAUGCUUUGUCAUUUUUGUAAUUGGUUGACUUUCAUAAACCAUUUCAUAUAUACAUUCCAUGAUCGCGUUAGUAUCUUGCAAAGUUCGAGGAGAUAGUUAUUGACGGCCGGGUUAAUGUCGUGCCACUUCCACUCAAAGGCUAAAGAGAGAUUGAGUAGUAAAGCGCAGAGACAAAACUGCCUACUAGUAUGCAUGUUUAGUUGAGUUGAUGAGUUUUGUAAGUCUUUAUGUACUCAUGUGUUUGUCUUGGCUUGGGAGCUCAGGGAUUUUGCCAAUGGUGGCCUCGUUAAAUCCUGUAACGAUCCGUCCCAAAUUUUAUGAAUUUCGAAAUGAGGGUAAAUUGGUAAUUUCACGUGUGGGAGAUAUUUUGCAUGUUUGUCUUUUUUGGGCUUGUUUAGUGUGUCAGUGGGGUCCAUCCCUUUGUUUUGGUCUCCUGGCCCUUUCUCCUUCUUCCCUCUCCCCGUCACUCUCUAUCUCUCAUCUUCAUUCUCUCUCUCUCUCUCUCUCUCUCUCUCUCUCCCUCCCUCAUUCUCUAUGCUCAUCUCUCUACAACUCUCUCUUUCUUUGAACUCACACACAACACCACCUCCACCAUCACUAGCCUCGCCACUCUGGCGAACCCCAUCACCCUGAGGACCUCCCCGUCGUGACCUUGGACCACCAAGGCUCCUCCUCCUCUUUCCCUCUCACUGUACAGUGUCACUGUCACUGUUCAAAAUGUUCUUCGGAGAACUCUUGCCGAUAUCGACAUGGGUAAGCUUUGGAAACACUCUAAACCUUCUCAUUUUGUCGUCGUAGUUCGUUUUUAUUGUUCUUGUGUGUUAUGGAUGUCGAAGCAUCACACAAACAGCUCGGGGAGACUUCCCCAAAUUCCGGCGAGAACCCAAGCCUUCUAGGCCAUUUUCCAGCCAAUUUCGGCCACGGCUGGCCACGACAUAGGUAUAAUAUUCUUCCUUGUUCUUGGGGCUUCAAUUUGGUAUAUUGAAUGACUAGUUUUAAUUGAGAUUUUGGGAUGAAUGGAGCUCUCCAAGCUCCCGCUUUCUUGUUUCUGGAGACCUGCUGAACCACAACCUGAAAACGGGUCGACCUGACCUGCAACCCAAAACCCAAUCCAAAACACUAUUCUGACCCGACUCGAAUUCGAAUGGAAUAUUCUUUGUGUUGAUUUUCCUAGAAUAUUCCUUGUGUUGAUUUUUUGUUGACUUUUACGAAAUUUUCCCGGGACCCCUCCUAGACUAAUUUCGAUGUCCUGAUUCCAAAUCCUCACUCUGUUUUCCCAAAUUCAAUUGUUUAAGUAAAGUUUUACUGAUUAGUCCUUUUAUGUGCUUAGGUACAAUUGUUAGUGACGACCUCGUCCUCUCUAGUUUGAGCGGCUCUUCGGUGACGAAGUAUCUGUGAGUGGACCCCUUCUAAAAUGCACGAUUUUAUUGCUAGAAAUGCAUACAUGAAAAUCAUGAUUAUAACUAUGUUUUAUGAAAUGUUUAUGGGUUAUCCGAACUAUGCUUUAUAAAAUGUCAUGCUUUAUCGGAUUUAUGUUUGUUGAAAUAUUUAUGAAUAUGGUUUUAUGAUAUGAUGUUUGAGUUAUUGAGCUCUGAUGAGAUAUAUUUUGGAAAGAUUAUGUUCAUAAUUUUAUGUGCUUACUUAGUGGAUAUUCAUAUAUAUAUGUGCCUUCGGGCGGGCAAUGUAGUGCCUUCGGACGGAAGAUAUAUGUACUUUCGGACGGACGAUGUAGUGCCUUCGGGCGAUUGUGAUACCACUACUAAGCACACUAUAUAUGAUAUAUGUUUUAAUCCAAGGUUCUAGGGCAUGCUAGUGUUUUCGGAAAAAACCUAUUAUUUAUUAUGCUAUAUGAGUUUCUAAAACUGGGGGUUAGUACAUUUGAAGAGUAGUUGAUUUUAGUAUUACUUAUAUAUAAACUUGGUCCGCUCAUGCUUUGUUUUACGCCUCCUUCAGGACUUAGAAUCGAGGCGUACACUCCCGCAUCUGUAUCUUCGAGUCCUCUUGGUGUAGGACCCAAUCCUUUGUUCGCACCUUUUCAUAAUAUUCCUUCUACAAUAUUCUUGAUUAGUUGUAUGCUUUGAACAUGUUCACACAUUUGCAUAUUCAUUAUAGUUAAGUUUAUGUGUUUUAUUUUACGUUCGUUCUUUCUUCAUAUUUUUACAUGCAUGUUAAUAUGGCUUCGUCACCUUCGGGUGUCGGUCAGAAUGUGUUUAUCUUGGUGUUUGGAGGAUAUUGGGGUCGGGCAUGUCAAAUCCUACAUCUUGUGUGCAUUUUUUAUUUAUCUUUUUAACUGCAUAUGUGUAGGAUAGUUUGAUAAGUGACUGAAAAUUGAAUUGGAUUUUUAAAUUGAAACCUAUUCACCCCCUAGGUAGUACCACCCUAGAACUUGCACAUAUUAUUAUAAAAAAUAGUAUUACUACCAUCUAUUUAUAUAAUCUCUAAUAGAAAUAAGAUAAACAUGUGUUGAUGGGCUCACCUCUAUUAGAGAGAUAAUACAAAUAGAUGGUAAGUAUAUCAAUUAUUAUGGAUUUGGGUUUUGUCCCGUAAGUGAUGUCUAUAAGAUCUAUAAAGUGGUAAUGAUUAGGAAUGCCAGCGGAGAGGUAAUGGUUAUGACUGUUGGUUCCUGGUUUUGGAGAAUAGGGAUUCUGAUUACACUUUGGUGUUUCAAUCAUUAUCGUCUCCUUUUGAUACGUGCCUUUAACCUUGAAAAUGAGCAUUUCCAACAGUUACCACUACCACCUUGUUCUCCGAUUUGAAACGGUCUAGCUUUUUCCUUGGAGUCUUGAAAGAUAGGCUCUCUAUAACUAUGCGCUCGAUGGCUAGUAUCAAUGCUUGAGUGAUGCAGGAGAGUGAUGUCAAGCAGUGGUGGACAAAGGAGCUGGAGAUUCGCGUGAGUCGUCUGGUUUUUGUAUUACUCGAGUAUUGAAGUUUACAGAUGAGGGGCAACCGGGGCAAGUCUUGUCGUUUAACAAGUCUCGCUUAGAGACUAAUACUCGUAGAAGAAAGGGCCCUGUGAGGGUUGAGGACCUUGAGGUGGAUGGGCUACCAUGCGCAGUUGAUACACCUUGCUUUCAUGUUUCAAGCUUUGUUUCGCUUAAAGAUGCCAUGAGGGGUUAGAGCUCGAAGCUAGGUAAGAUAUGCCAAUGCUAGUACUAGUUAUGUUUGUUUUUGCAAUUUUGUGCAAAUUUGGUGGUAAUUUGUUUCCAUUCAAUAUAUUUCAUUUACUUUUUUUUUUUUUGAAUUGUUAUUAGUACUCCAAAAAUCUCAUUCUACACUCAAAACUUUCUAUAUUAGGAAAUAAAAAUACAUUCGUGAGAAGUGUAAAAUGAGAUUUUUGGAGUCCCAAUAACACUUUUUUUUUUUCCUAUAUAGUUUUAUUUUAUUCCAAAGAGAGAAUAAUUGCUAAUGGUGACCGUUGUUGUGCCCACAAUUUGAACGAAUGUUGCGAGAGGAAUGUUGAAAAUUUGCUUAAUUGUGAAAAGCUUUUCUGGUGAGACUUUGAGAAAGCCAUCACGUGGGCUUUGCAAUUUGGUUUUGUACAGUCAAUUCACUUUCUGUUCCUCACAUCACCUUUGUUGGGUGAGAGUUGCUAUCUGCCCAUUACGUGUAACUUUUUACUUCACUUCCUCUUGCAUUUAUUUUGGCUUCUCAAGCAUUCUUGCUGGUGAGUGCAUAUAUUAAUGUGCACCUAGGUAGAGCCGUUCGACAGAUACAGAAAAAGCUAGCGCAGCAAAACCAUUUGGUGAAGAGGAAAAAAGUACUCUCUUGUUCAUCGGUUUUGGGUGCUGUCAACUUUAUUGAAAGAGCCCAAUCAUCUCCUCUUUGUGACUAAAGAUUGUCACACCAUUUGGAGCAAGAAGGAAACCUUUCUUUGGUUUUAGGGGCUGCUGCUCAUCUGAUAAAUUUCUCUCGCUUUUUUGCUUUUGGUGUUUUGCUUCACACUUCCGUAAGAGCUUUUGUAUGUUUGCAGAGCAAGAACUUGAGAAUUGUUCUUGGCACAUCUAUGUGGGAGAGUGACGUGUAUUUGGGUUUUAGGUUGUGAGAGCUUAAACAAUUUUUUAAUCUUUAUUUGAUAAAGAUCGUUUAGAAAGUGGGACUAAUAUUCUCACCGUUUCCUUACUAGACGUAGACUUACACCGAACUAGUAUACGUCCUUGUGUUAAUUGGAUUUCUGUAUUUAUCAUAUUUUACCUUGUUAAAUAUUUGCCUCAUAUCUGAAGCUUCCGCAAAACAAGGGAAACCAUUAUUAAACAUAGAAUAGUUGGCUAUGUUUGUGUAAAUUCAGGGGAGCUGCAGGUUUAAUUUACACAACUAAAAUUAGUUUUGGGUUUUUUUAUUCUAUAUUUAUAGGAGUGCCUAUCCAAAUGGUAUUUGCAAACAAUGAUGAAAUCCUAUAUAUGUCUGUGUUAUGAAACUUGAGUCAGCCAAACAUGAUUUUGUAUAUUUCUUGCUUUUAUGGUGGCAUUAUAUAUACUAACAAAAAUCAUUAACCUUCCUGCAUCUCCCAGGUUUAUUUCUGCAUGUGUUCCUAAAACACUAGAGAUGUAAGAGUGCGAGUUGAAAGAGUUGGUUUCUGAGUUCGAUCAACUUCCUAUAAUAUAUAUAGGGGUGUGAUAUCUACACACCUUAUUUUACUUCUCACACAUUUUUUUUAUUUUCGGCCAUCAGAUUGGAUGAAUUGAAGAAGAUCAACGGACAUAAAUUAUCAAGGGAUGUGUGAGAAGUAAAAUGAGGUGUGUGGAUAGCGGCUCUAGAUUUGCUGUCCCCAAAAAUAUGUCUCGUUUAUGUCUCCUUGCUAAUAUGUUGACACAUGUCAUUUAACUUAACCUAAAACUAACUCUGUUAAUUUUAUUUAUUUAACAUUUAAAUUAAAAAAAUCCCAAAUAAUAAAAAAAAAAACUGUUGGGUUAAUGAGGUGAGCAAAUGAGAGCUGUGAUUCUCUGAGGUCGUUCCCUUUGGGCAUUUUCCCCAACCUUUCAUCUCUUCGUAUAGGAAAUUUUGAGAAUCUGGAAUCUCUUUCAGUUGAAGGAGGAGCAGAUGAAAAUCUCAGCCAUCUCAACUCCCUGGAUAUUUGGGUAUGUCGAAAUCUUGUCUCUUUUCCCGAGGGGGGUUUGCCCACUCCCAACCUCACUUUCUUUGAUGUCUACGACUGCGAGAAUUUGAAGUUGUUGCCGGACCGAAUGCACACCCUCACCGCCCUUCAAACCUUAUUGAUACGCAGUCUUCCAAAUCUUGUCUCUUUUCCUGACGGAGGAUUGCCCACUCCCAACCUGACUUACUUUAAAGUAGGGGAUUGCGUGAAUUUGAAGUUGUUGCCGGACCGAAUGCACACCCUCACCGCCCUUCAACGUUUGGAGAUAUCCAAUCUUCCAAAUGUGGAGACGUUGCUCAAUGAACAGAUGCUCCCUGCCACUCUUCACGCUCUCGAAAUCUCUUAUGCAUCUUAUCUGAAAACUUUGGACGGAAAGAGUUUUGAGCACCUCACUUCUCUUCAACAGCUACAAAUCGAAGGGUGCGAGAGUCUCGAAUUCCUGCCAAAAGAGGGUUUCCGGCAUCUCUUUCUUAUCUGAAGAUCCGGGGUUGUCCUCCUCUGAAGAAGAGGUAUGGGAACAAAAAGGGAAAAGAUUGGAGAAGCAUAGCUCGCAUUCCUUGUAUAGAGAUAGAUGAUGAAAUCACCAUAUGAGCUUUCAUUUCGUUAACCCAACAAUAAUUAAAGUUAACAGAGUUAGUUUUAGGUUAAGUUAAAGGACAUGUGUCAACAUAUUAGCAAGGAGACACAAAAGAGACACUUUUAGGGCCAGCAAAUCUGGAGCUGUGGAUAGCACACAUCUAUAUAUACUUUGAGUUAUAUUGUUGUUUUGUUGGUUAGAAAGGGUUGUAGGUUUCCAUAUGCUUGUGUUUUAUUACGUCCAAAACGUAGGAGCUUUGAGCCAGAAAUGAAGCAUUUGAGAAUUUUCUUCAAGUGUGAUAGGAAACUGAACUUCCUGCUCAGGUGCUGCUAUGCAUUUGGCAUCAUUGGUUGAAAGAUUUAGUGGUACAUCUGUUUCAAUUUUGGCGUAGGUGACUGUACUUAUUAUCAUUUAAGAGAAUAGGGAUCAUCAGAUAUAGUGGUAAAGCCAUAAAUUAUCACAGAAAUGAGCGAAAUUUAAACAGGUAAAAGAGUAUAUGACUGUGAAGACACGUGAUAUUAUGAGCCUCUAGAAACACACGCGAGCGCGCACAAAUAUAUAUAUAUAUAUAUAUAUUUUUUUUUUUUGAACAAACACGUAGACAUAUAUAUGAAACAAUUGAAAAAUGUAAAAAAAUUCGUGAGAAGGAAAAUAAUUAUUUUUUGGGUAAUAACAAAUAUAAAUUAUGAAAAAAAAAAGAGGCUUAUUUAGACCAACUCUGACUCUUAGAGUAAGUCCUAAAAUUUACCUUCUAUUUCCCCUCAAUUUCCUUCCAACCUUAGGCCAAUUUGGGACUAUAGGUUGGGACUAUAGGUUAGAAGCUAAAAUUGGACCAAAUACCGGCCAGAAAAGUGGGCUGGAUUAGUGGUGUGCCCCACUUUUGCGUGUGAACGCGCUCCAAAACUUGGCAGCGCAGCAAGAAUGACACGCCCAUGCACGGAACGCACUGGGAGAUGAGCAGCUGGUGGUCCCAUGCACAUGGAUCUUGUUGGCCACCCAUCAGAGCCCAAUGACUCUUUUUCUCAUCCAAGGGUUGUGCUUCACUGGACCGUUGGAUCCAGGUUCGAAUUUGUGUUUUUUUUUUAGUUUAUAUUUAUAAAUUUAUUAAAUCUAACAGCUGAGAUUGAAUAUAAACCAAAUCUAAUUAUGGAAAAAAAAAUUUUAAAGUUAAAAUUUAAAUCCAACUGCUAAAAUAAUUUAAAAUUUUAUUUAACUCAAAAUUCACUCAAAAACUCUAUAAAUGCCUAUAUAUUUGUUCAAACAUCCACUCAAAAUUCACCUUUCUCCUACAAUUCUUUCAAUUUUUCAUUCUACCAUCUUCCAAAACCAUGUGUUUUGUGUUUAUUCAUCUCUAUCAUGUGUUUCAUAUUCUUCCAUAGUGUUUCAUGAGUUUUAUAUAUUGAUUUAGUGAUUUUUCAAUAUUGAUCGGGAUUUAAAUAUUUUUAGGUUAAAAUGUUCAUAAAAUUAAUUUAUGAUAAUCUACAUAAUUUUUUUAAAGUUAUUUUAAAAAAAUAAAAUGAUUAAAUUUAUUUUUUAAUAGUAUGGGGGUAAAAAUUUAACCCAUAAGGGUUAAAGUAAAAAAACUACUUCUCAAUUAAAACAUAAAUAUUCUGAGCUAAAAAUUUUAUGUUUUAACUCAAAUGUUGAAGAUGCUCUCAAAGGAGGGAGAAGAAACAGGAAAAAAGGGAGGAAGAGAAGGACGGGGAAAAGUGGGUAGGGAAUGCCUCAAACUUAAAAAAACUCAAAAUGGUAAAAUAUCGAGGAUUUGACAGUCCUCGUUCUCACGUUGAGGCAGAGCCAUAGAGAGAGAAGGGUAGAGAGAGGAUGGAGAACCAUAAGCAGAUAGAGAAGGAUGAGUGGGGCCAUGGCAGUGGAGACGGCGAUGUGGCUGUAGUUUGCUGCUCUGUUGCUUCUUCUUUGAAACCGCUUUCCUCUUCUGGUUCUCCACCCCCAAACUCAAGCUUUGAAACUCUGCAAUUCAACUUUCAACUCUGUAAUCGAGAAGAAGAAAGGUAACAAAAGAGAUGAAAGUACCAGAGGGGCGGAUUUAACUCGUAGGGUCAAUUUCUGACGAUUGAAGGUGCGGCCGCACCUCCUUAGAGCUUUGUGGCUUCCCCACUGAUCAGCUAUAGAAUCUGGUGUUCGGUGUUCCACAUAAACCCAAAAGCUAGAAUCUAGCUAUAGGGAUCAUCACAUCACAUAAAGCUCAGUGUGAAUUGGGAAUUUUCCUAGUAGCUAGUGGUAACUAGAGAUUUUGCACGAGAGCCUGAUGUCAGAAUACAAAGAAGUUCUUGUUCACCAUAUGUAUUCUUGAGAGAGAAAGAGAGAUUUGAGAGAAUAGCAAUCUUAGAGAGAGAAAUGAAUUGUAUCUUGUAUGUAUUGAAUUAAUGAAUGUGUUACAAUAUCUACACAUAUAUAUAGACAAGGCUAUCUUAGUCACUAAGUAAGUUAACAAACUUUAACUACCUAGCAACCUAAUCUACGUACACUUGUCAAUAUCUGAAACACCUAAUACAUCUUUACACCUGAUGGUUAUCUUGUUCGUAAUAACCAGCAAAGUUCAUCAUUAAGGUAUAGGGUUUUUAUCACAAAUGGUCCCUGACAUUGAUCAAACACAUCAUUUUGGUCCCUGACAUUGAAAAUCAAUAGAAAUGGUCCCUGACAUUGAUCAAACACAUCACAAAUGGUCCUUCCGUUAAAAACUUUUUGGGCAAUUUUCAAAGCUUCGUAACUCAAUCGUUUCUUAACCAAAUUUGACCCAUGAUAUAUCAAAAUGAAGAUAGGCAAGUGUAGAACAAGAUUAUACCGAUUUGGAAGCUCAAUGGUUGCCGGAGAUGGCCGGAAAGUAGCCUCAAAUGUGAUUAGUCCGCGAAAAAACUGGAAAACUCGCCUGAAAUGGGGUAAACUUUAAACAUUCAUAACUUCUUCAAUACUCAACGAAAUUGAGUGAUUCAAAAAUGAAAAUCAUACGUCUCAACGAGAAAAAGAGAAUGGUACCUUUAUUGACUACUAAUUUACUGUGGUUUGACCAUAAAAUGGCUUGAACUUGGAUAACCAUUUUCGAGUUAGCCAAUUUCGAGUCGUUUUCCGGCCAAACUAUGACAAGUUAGCCAUCAACAAAGAUACCAUUCUCUUAGUCUCGUCUAGAAGUAUGAUUUUUGUUUUUGAAUCACUCGAUUUCGUUGAUUAUUGAAGAAGUUAUGAAUGUUUAAAAUUUAUCCCAUUUCAGGCGAGUUUUCCAAUUUUUUUGCUGACCAGUCACAUUUAAGGCUAUUUUUCGGCCAUCUCCAGCAACCAUUGGGCUUCCAAAUAGGUACAAUCUUGUUCUACAUGUUCCUAUCUUCAUUUUGAUAUAUCAUGGGUCGAAUUUGGUUAAGAAACAAUUGAGUUACGAAGCUUUGAAAAUUGCCCAAAAAGUUUUUAACAGAAUGACCAUUUGUGAUGUGUUUGAUCAAUGUUAGGGACCAUUUCUAUUGAUUUCAAUGUCAGGGACCAAAAUGAUGUGUUUGAUCAAUGUUAGGGACUAUUUGUGAUAAAACCCUUAAGGUAUAUAUGUGUAUUCUCAUAUUAAAAAUAAAAAAUAAAAAAAGUAAAAAAUAGUGAAAGUCAUACAACGGGGUCAUAAAGUAAUUUCUCUUUUACAAAUAUGGUUUUCGAGCCAUUCCAAGCAUUUCUGUUGCAAGUUACAUAUGGCUAUUUGGAAGAAGCAUAAUAAAAUGAAGUUUGAAAGUAAGCUUGCUUCCUUUUCACGUCCUUGUUAUUUUAUUUUGGCCUGAAUUAAGUAGGUUGGAGUUUUCACUCUUGAUCAUGUGCAUGGUAUUUUGGAUAAGCAACUUGGGGUGUCUCUUGUAAUCUCGACUAAGUCCUGUAAACACCUACAAUUUCUGUUCUUUGGCAUCCUCCUCCAUUUUAUAGGGUCAAAGUGAAUAUGAAUGGCCUUGCUAAAAGUAAUCCAAGUUUUGUAGCUUGUGGUGAGGUUUUUCGAGAUUCUGUGGGUUAUUUUCUUGGUGGUUUCUCCUUGAGCUUAAGGCAUUGUACUUCUUUCUAUUCGAAGCUUCAUGUUGCCAUCUUAGUUGUAGAGUUGGAUCACACGCAGGGUUGGCAAGAUUUAUGGCUUGAAAGUAACUCUUCUACCGUGAUUUCUUGCUUUGCUUAUGGUUCUUUCUCUCCUAUUUGGUCGCUCUAGACUUGUCGGAAAACGGUAUUUCCCGGUUGCGGCACAUGGUAUUCCGUUGUUCUCAUAGAUUUCGAGAAAGGAAUGCAGUUGCUGAUAAAUUAGCCAAUUUGGGAUUUCUCUCGUCUUCACUUGUUUGGCAUGCCACUCCUUAUAGACAUUCUUCUUGUCUGCAUUCAGAUUUAUUAAGUAUGUCGACCCACAGGUUUGUCUCCUCUUUUUGAUAUGUCAUUUUCUUUUUUACCUAAUCUUUUUGGAUUCUCCUUUUUUGUUUUGUAGCUUGUCUUGCAGGUUCUUACAUUUUACGUGUUAUUUUAGAGAGGGUCGGUCAUAAGUCCACCCCGUUUUUGUUUGUAUUUUCUUUUCCAAGAAGGGUAAGUAUAUGUGUGAUAGCCCGUCCCUAAUCUUAAGAGUUUUUAAAGUUUUAAUAAAGGAUUUUACAAAAAUGCCCUUUGAGGUACGCGCAUUUUUUGAGGUUAAUCGUCAUGUCGUGCCAUCUAAGAUUUGUUUUCUUGGCAUAUCAUCGUAGUACUCGUCGCUACGGAUGCGUGGGCGUAGACAGUUCGUGUCGAAAAAGUUAUUGACGUUUGAAAUUUGGGAAUUUUAGGAAUUUUAAUUUUAGUAAAAUAUAGAAUUUCUUUUAUGAAAAUGGACGGCCCAGAUUUAAUGAAGAAUUAAAUGGAUGGCUGGGAUGAGAGAAAGAAGGUUUUGUGUGUGUGUGUGCGUGAGAAGAAGAAGAAUCAGAGGAAAAAGAUUGGGCAGAAAUGCCCAAUCGGGAAAAGAGAGAAGAAUGGAUCAAGAGGGAGUGAGAGAGAGAGUUCAGCGAAUGGAGAGAAUAGAGAGAGAGAAACCAGCCAAUAGGAACAGAGGACAGGAGGAAAGGAAGGAGAGAGUGGCGCGGGGGAUCGGCCGGAUCCCCCUUGGCCCGUUUUUGACCCGUCGGCAUCCAUGCCUAUUUCUGACGAUUUUCACCCAUUUUUCCGGCGAAUUGCUUCAAGAAACUUCAUGGGAAACACUCUAGGAGCCUUCCUCUAUCCAUUCCAUCUCAAAAUUGGAGAGAUUUGGCUUUGAAAAUGGAGAAAACCGCAAGGAGGGGUGCGGCGACUUUGGCUUCGAAUCACCCAAUCCCGAAGCAAUUUCUUUCAAUUGCCACCACCCAUAGCUUCCUCUUGAGGCCUAGAACAAAGCCCAAGCAUUGAUUGGAACGGCGGAGUUGAUUUGAAGACGAAUUGGAACUCACCCAAUUCUAGGGUUCUUCACGGUUUUGACGAAAUUGGAGCCUUUCCAAGCCAAAUUGGCCUUUGCCUCAGGUAUAAAGUUUACUCUACUUGUUGAGAUCUUCAAUUCUAUAUUUUUUGAGAAUUUUUAGAAAUAGUUGGAUUUUCCGGCGAGCCGAGGCGGCCAACCGCCACCCGUGGCGGCGCGUGGCCAGUGGCCCACCAAUGUCAUUCUUAGCAUGUUUUUAAUGUUCUAGGUUCAGUUUUGAUAAUUGAUUGACGUAAAUUGAGUAAUUGAACCUAAGUUAGUUACGAUUCGUGGUGAGGUGAAAAUGUGAAUUGACGAUCCGACCGUUGAUCGUCACCAAACUUUGAUACGUUGUAAUACGUAAUAUUUGAGGAUUAUAGGAACUGACGGAUUGGGAAUCCGAUUUACGGAUCUUCCGGAAACGGAGUUGUAAGUUUAUAAAAUAGAAUGUUAACCGUCACUUGAUUUUGACAACUGGCGGAGAUCCGACCGUUAGAUGGUAAUGGAAUUUUAUGAUGUUGCUCUAGAGAUAUAUUGUGGAACUCUGGAAGUUAUGGAUUGGAAAUCUGAGUUGUAGAUCUUCCGGAUCGAUCUACGUAGUGACAUGUUUUAUAUAAGUUAUAUAUUCUAUCAAUAUGAUUUCUGAGGUUUGAUUUGAUGAUUGUUCUAGGCCCUGAUCGUCAUGACGCCUUGAUGUAUUGUGCUAGGGAGUUGUAGGGCGAACUCCAGGUGAGUGGGCAUUAUUUUCUGUAUUUACCUAUAUACUACUGAAUUUCCCAGAAAUUGAAUUUAAAUGAAAGUAUGUUUUUAAAAUGCCAUGCAUGCAUAUUAUGAAUUAUAUGAAUUAGUAAUUGAUGCAUAUAUAUGUGAAUUGGUGUUGUGGACGCACAUGCGAGUAUCAGGUGAGUGUUAUGUUAUUUAUGUAAAUCAUUGAUGAUGUGAAUUGUGUUGAGAGCUCAUAACAUGCACCCCUGGUGUUAGUGCUUAUAGUAUUCAUCGCACCGUACACUCACCUUGGAUCCAAGUAGGUGCAUGUCGUACAGACCAUGAGAGGGUUCUGACAUGCUAGUCGUACAGAUCACUAGAGGUGGUUCCGACUGGUAGGUGACCUUAGAUUAUGUGCACAGAUGAUUGAUGAGAGAAACACUAGAGCGUAUUAUUACACCAUUCUUAUCGUACAGAUUACUUUAGGUAGUUCCGAUUUAUGUGUAGAGUAGUGCUGUACAGGUCACAGUGGUGACUCUGGUUGGAUUGGAUAUUGAGCUAUAGAAUUAACCGAACAGGACCAACUGCAGGGUCUCCGGUUGAUUCCUUAUUCCACCUGUUAUAUUGAUGCAUCUUUAUUAUGUUUUGAUGCAUAGCAUGGCAUAUUUUCUCGAAAAGUGUUAAAGACUUGUGAUUUGAGUUUUGAGAUUUUAUAUGGUUAUAUAUAUUCUAUUUUUCUGGGAAAGUAUACAGGUUUUACAGCGAGGGGUUAGAAAUGUUUAAAAUGAAAUGUUUUCGAAAAACUUUGUUUUACUAACCCACUUAAUUUUGUUUUGCGCCCCUCCAGGUUCAAGUUAGCAGAGCUUUGGUGGCCACGAGGAAUCCAACAAUGUUCUGACAAAAUUCUCAAAAGUAGGAUUCACCCUCGGGUGUUAUAUCCUAGUAAUUGUAUCUUUAAAGCUUCCAAACUGUGUAAAUGGUUACGUCACUCUCACGUGACGGCCAGCAUGCCCUCCUUCGGGAUGGGGUGUGUCAGUUGGUAUCAGAGCCUAGGUUGCAGUCCUGGACAUCUUGAGAAUUCCCUAGUGUCUUCUGUCAGAACUUUACCACCUCGUAGAGAGCCACUUUGUUCAGAUGAGCUUAGUUUCCCCGAUUUAAUUUAGUUAUAGGAGACUACUACUGAUGUGAUUCAGUCUAUUACCCAAAUGACUCCUUUUGAGAAUGGUUAUAGAUUGAAUUUGAAUCAAUUUAGGGAAAUGAAAGACCGGAUGGAGCAGAUCAAUGGCUUAAUCAUUUGGAAAAGGCAUUUCAGAUUCUGCAAAUUAAAGGAAUCUUUCUCUUGAAGGUAGGUCGAGAUGACUACCUGGUUUCUGAGUAUUGAAAUUGCAUCAUGGUGGAGAUAGGAGUCUUAUACGAUGUCACCAGAGGAAACAGCUGAAUGAGAAUUGUUUAAAGAGUUGUUUAAGAAAAGGUUUAUUCCUCCGGCAUAUAUGGACGGUAAGAAACAAGAGUUUACAAUUUGAGACAAGGAAAAGAAUGAGAAUCAAAGGAAGGAUGACCAAGGUAAAGGUCAUGUAUCUCAAGAACCUCGCAAGACUUAGAGCUUCAAAAGAAGUGGGGUUAAUUCUAGUUCUGCCAUCAGAGAUUUUAGUACCAUUGAUCAGAUACGAGGUGGUAGAUUUACUGGAGAUCCUAGAUUGCAGAGGCGAAGUGACUCUGGUAGAGGGAAUGUACCUUUGUGCUGUAAGUGCAAUAGCAUACACUUUGGAGAGUGUAGGCGAGAAAGUAGAUGAUGCUUUACAUGUGGACAAAUGGAACGUAGAACUGCAAGAUACUUAGAAUCUUUCGGGCUUGAUCAUGGGCACGUUAAACAUUCUUGGUUACUUUGCUAGAGUUUUAAUUGAUUGUGAUGUAGAAAUUUUAUGUUAUUAACGAUGUUGCCAAAGAAAGUAGUGAAUGAGCACGAUCGAGGCGUAUAUAUGUAUUUCUGAUGAAGAGCAAGAUGAUAAUAUUACACCCUUGAGAAUUGUUGCUUACUUAUCGAGACAACAGUGAGUUAUCAUUAUUGCGGGCUGCAGACCAUAAUAUCCAUAACUUAUUUGUUGGAUUCGUUAAGCAGGUAAACAAGUAGGUAAUUCUAUGUCGGUUAUGAUUAUUCAGGGUGUCCAGUGAUGGUGGAAGAAGUAGUUAUGCCAGCGAAUCUUAUCCCGUUAGACAUUGUGGAUUUUGAUGUGAUUUUAGGCACAUAUUGGUUGCAUUAUAAUCGUGCCAAUAUUGAUUGCUACGGGAAAUCAGUUACUUUCCAUCGUCUUGGAUUAUCAGAGGUUACUUUUGUGAGUGAGCAAAGUGGAAUGAGGCAUGCCGUUAUUUCUGUUGUGAGAACAAAGAGAUUGUUAUCAAAAGGUUGCCAAGGAUACCUAGCUCAUGUGGUGUUGCAGGAUCGUACUCCUAGUAUUUUGGAUGACGUACGAGUAGUAGACAUUUUCCUAAUGUGUUUCCGGAAAUAUUUACCUGGAUUGCCACCAGACAGAGAUGUGGUGUUCACUAUUGAAUUGUCUCCAAAUACAUAUUUUAUGUUAUAGAUUGGUUCCUGCAGAGUUAAAAGAAUUGAAAAUUCAGUCACAAGAAUUGGUUGAUAAAGGUUUCAGUCAACCUAGUACGUUACCUUGGAAAACCCCAGCUUUGUUUAUAAGGAAGAAAGACAGGACCUUAAGAAUAUGUAUUGAUAUUAGGUAAUUGAAUUGGGUAACGAUUGAGAGCCGUUAUCCAUUGUUGUGUAUUGAUGAUUAUUUGAUCAGCUCUGAGGCGCCUAUGUAAUUUCUGAGAUUGACUGGAGGUCUGGAUAAUAUUAGUUGAAGAUUAGCAGUGUGGAUGUUCAUAAGACUGAAUUCAGGACUCGUUAUGGUCAUUUCAAGUUAGUGAUGCCAUACAGAGUGACGAAUGCACCUGCUACUUUUAUGAGUUUGAUGAAGGAAGUAUUCCAGUGAUAUCUAGACCGGUUUGUUGUUGUUGCCAUUGACGAGAUUGAUAAGAUUAGAACGGAGCAUGCUAGAUAUUUUGAGUUGGUGUUGCAAUGAUUAAGGGAACGUCGAUGUAUGCUAAGUUUAGCAAAUGCUAAUGUUAGAUAAAUCAAGUGACAUUUUUUAGACAUAUUUUAUCUACGUAAGGUAUUCAAGUGGAUUCUUAAAAGGGUAGCAGCGAUUGAGAAUUUGGAACAAUUGCGAACCGUGACUGAGAUUCAGAGUUUUCUCGGCUUAGCAGGUUAUUAUUGAUAGUUCGUCCAAGAUUUUUCAAUCAUUGCUUUGCCUUUGGCGAGAUUGAUGAGAAAAGAGGUUAAGUUUGAGUGGGAUGAAAAAUUGUGAGUAGAGCUUCAGCAAGUAAAAUAUUCCCUCACUCAUGCAUCUGUUUUCGCACUCCCAGACGAUAGUGGUAAUUAUGUGGUCUAUAGUGAUACUUCUUUGAAUGUUCUUGGAUGCGUGUUGAUGCAACAUGGUAGGAUGAUUGCCUAUGCUUCACGGCCAUUGAGAUCUCAUGAGAUGAAUUACCCUACUUGUGAUUUGGAAUUAGCGGCUAUCAUUCUUACUUUGAAGUUAUGGAGACAUUAUAUUAUUGGUGAGAAAUGCAAGAUUUUUAUGAAUCAUAAAAGUCUCCAAUAUAUGUUUACGCGGAGAGAUCUUAAUCUUAGGCAACAAAGGUGGAUUGAGUUGCUUAGUGAUUAUGAUUGUGACUAGGGUGGUCGAGCUAAUGUUGUGGCUGAUGCAUUUAGUAGGAAGACUCCAGUGAGAAUUAAUGCUUAGUACGCUUGCUAUGUUCAUCUUCUUGUGGAUUUGAGAUCUACUGGAGUAAAGUUGGGUAUCAAAGAUCGAGAAGAAGCCUUACUUGCUAAUUUUCAAGUUAGACCUAUUUGGUAGAUCGUACUCGAGACCCAAACGUUUGAUGAAGAAAUUCAAGAAUUUAUUUAAAGCAAGGGAUAACAGGAAAAAGAAAGACCUCAGAGUUAGAGAAUCUUAUGGCAUGCCUAUGCAAAAGAACAAAAUGUAUGUACCUAAUGUUAUGGAAUUAAAGAAAACAAUUUUGGACGAAGCGCACGGUUCAUCUUAUACAAGGCAUCUUGAAGGUAUUAAAAUGUAACAUAUCAUUCGAAAAUUUUACUAUUGACCGAGUAUGAAAAGAGAAAUGGUGGAGUAUGUAAGUAGGCGUAUCAUCCGUCAGCAGGUUAAAGCGGAAAGAAAUAAGUCAUUUGGAUUGAUGUAGUCAUUUCUUGUUCCACGAUGGAAAUGGGAAAAUAUUACUAUGAAUUUCGUGGACAAGCUUCCUCGUAUACAAAAUAGUUAGGUUGGAAUUUGAGUAAUAAUUGAUCGGCUUGCGACGUCAGCGCAUUUUACUUCAGUAUGAGAACAUCAACCUUUCUAGAAGUGCAACAGUGAUUUAUCUGUCUUAUGGAAAAGAGAUUUGGGCAUACGGAUCUGUUGAACUUCUUGGGUAUGUUGGUCCUUCAGUUUGUUCCCAAGAGGAACGCCAUAAGGCCGUGGAUAGCAGUGUCUUGUGUUUCAAAAUUGUUAGAAUUGUGGACGGAUGGUAUUUUGGGGAGCAAAAGGUUCAACCACGAAAAGUCUGAAAAAAAUUUAAGGCCAUGAGGUAGUGGAGGAGACUACUCGGAAUAUUCAAGUAAUUAAGUCUAAACUGAAAGUGGCCCAGGAUUGUUAGAAGAGCCUUGCCGAUAGACAUGGCACGGAUCGGAUGUAUGAUGUAAGUGAUUGAGUAUUUCUGAAACUUUAACCUUGGAAAGGUGGGGUUCGGUUCGGGAAGAAAGGUAAGUUAAGUCCUAGGUACAUCAGACCAUAUGUGAUCACCGAAAGAGUCGGUGAAGUUACUUACAGGCUUGAGUUGCCUCCAGAGUUGUCGAAAGUGCAUAAUGUGUUCCAUGUUUCCAUGCUUCGAUAUUAUGUUUCUGAUCCUUCACAUAUGAUUUCUCCUUAAUCUUUGGAAGUUAAUCCGGAUUUAAUUUAUGAUGAGGAACCAGUGAUAAUCUUGGAUUGGAAGGACAAUUUCUAAGGAAUUAAACAGUGAAGUUAGUGAAAGUUUUAUGGAGGAAUCAUUCAGCAGAAGAAACUACUUAAGAGACAAAAGAUCGAAUGAGAGAGAUGUUUUUCAGGUUGUUAUAUGGAUAUUGAUGGAUUGUAAAGAUUGUGUAAAUUUCAAGGAUGAAAUUUUUUUAAGGUGGGUAGAUUGUAGAGAUGGCAAUUUUAACCGUGAAACCCGAUACCCGUGGAUAACCGCCCGAAUGGAUUAGGUUUGGAUAUGAAAAUUCGGGUAUGGUUUGGAUAUGGGGAAAAACCGUGAACUUUAUUUGGUUAUGGGUUUGGAUAUGGUUAUAGGGGUAUCCAAUCCAUAUCCGUACCCGAAUCCAAACCGAAUAUUAUAUAUAUAUAUAUUUGAUAUAUAUUAUAUUUUAUUCAAUUAAUUCUUAAAAAUUCAAUUUUGCAACCCGGAUUCACUGAUUCAGCAGUUGUGUAAAAUGACAUGAUUGUCCAUCUCAUCUUUAGAUCCUACGGUGAGGAUGAUGAGUUAGAGGGGUAGAACUAGAAUCAUCUUUUUAUCAUAGGGUUUCAGUCUUUCAGAUUAGGACUUGAAUCUUCUUUCUUGGGCGUAGCCGCGCAGGUAAGGCCAUGCAUGCCGCCGAUCCUGGCACGUGUGAGAGAAAAAGAGAGUGACAAUGAGAGAAAGAGAAGAGAGAGUGGUUGUCCAGAUAAUAGGGAGAGAAACAGAGAGGGAGGGGUUGGGAUGGUGAACAGAGAGGAGUAAGGUCCCCCGACUCCGGGACUCCCUCAGUGUCAGUCCAUGAAUCACUCUGGAUCGUCCGUUCCCUUUUGCGUGUCGGAUGAGUGGCUGGAUUUCGAAAGCUAAGUUCCUUUUUUUAUUGGAUUCUUUAUUGUUAGCAUAUAUUUUCAUCAUUUCAGCCUUUUUGCUGUGAAUUAUAUCCGGAUUUUGUUGCACUGUUUGGUCAGGUUUUGGGGGUUCCUUUAUUUGUUUCAUUCUCUGUCAUUUUCUUUCAUUUUGUUGAUGCAGCAUCUCUCUGUUCUGUGUAUUGUUCUUUGUUUUAAGGUCAGUUUUUUUUUUUGUUGGUUUUCAAUUCGUUGAUCUAUGACUCUGUGUUUAGAUUUUCGUUCGUGUAUGAUUAAAUGGGUAUUGGGUUUUGGUGGUUGAAAAUAUGUUUUUUUCUUGCUUAUGCUUCUUGCUCAUUUUCCUGGGAUUUUUUGUUUUGAGUUGCAAGGGUAAAGAAAACACUGAAAUCUUAGAAAUCGGUUUUGGCAUUUGUGUUAAUGCAUUUCCAUUUUUGGUUUGCAGGAUAGGUGGAUGCAUUGAGACCUAAAAAUAUUUGCGUGAACAUCAUAAAGUUUUCUAAGGCUCCAAACGUUGAAGGGUAAGUGUUUUGAGCUAUGUUCAAUUUUUAAUUUGAUUCUCUACUGUUGGGGAUGCAUCUCUGAUCUCUCCGUUCUGUGUAUUGUUCUUUGUUUUAAGGUCAGUUUCUUCUUUUUUUUUUGGUUCUUUUUGUGGGUUUUUAGUUCGUUAAUUUGUGACUCUUGUGUUUAGAUUUUUCGUUGGUGUAUGAUUAAAUGGGUAUUGGGUUUUGCUUGUUAAAUCAAUAAUUGUCUUCUUGUUUAUUGUUAUAUAUUUAGUUUACAUGUUAAUUGACUCAAUUUCAGUAUUAUACCAUGUCUUUGUUUACAUAUUAAUGGAUUUGGUUGUGUUUGCAGCAAUCAAAAUGUCUAAAAGAAAAUUUAAGUCUCAAGAAGAAACAAUAUGUACCCCAACUGAUUGUAAUCUAGCACCUACAUUACAUCCAAGUGCUGUGCAACAAGAAAUACCAAGUCAAAUUGCUCAGCCCCAAGAUAUACCAACUCCAAAUGAGGUCGCUGGUGAGAUUAAGGAACCUGGGGGUGAUGAUGGUGAAGGUAAUAAUUCGAGACUUCGCAGUUUGGUGUGGCAACAUUACACAAGAACACUAGUUGAUGGGGUGAUGAAAGCAAUAUGUAAUUAUUGUAGCAAGAAGCUUGGUGGGAACACUGUAAAUGGAACCAGCCAUUUGAGGCAUCAUGUGACGAUAUGUCCACGUCGGAGACAAAAAAAAUUGAAGCAAACACUAACCCAAAAAGUAGGAGAUGGGAAAGUAGAGUUGUAUACAUUUGACCAAGAAAGUGCAAGGAGAGCUCUCGCCCAAAUGAUAAUAUUGCAUGAGUAUCCUCUUUCCAUGGUUGAGCAUGUUGGAUUUAGAAACUUCAUGAGUGUUGUCCAACUGUUGUUUAAGGUUGUUUCAAGAAACACAAUCAAGAGUGAUAUCCUCAAAAUAUAUGAUUAUGAGCGUUUGAAAACAAUGCAAUUGUUGGAUGAAAAUAAGAGUAGAAUUGCCAUAACUACUGAUAUGUGGACUGCAAGUAAUCAGAACAGAGGAUUUAUGGCAAUAACAUCUCAUUUUAUUGAUGACUCUUGGACGUUGCAGAGCCGAAUAAGGUGAUAUUUUUAAUACUUUAACUUCUAUUUAAUUGUUGUCUAGCUUUAGAUUUAUAUUUCAGAUUGUUUAUUGUAACCAUCUUCAUUGUAAUUUUUUUUCAGAUUUAUUUAUGUGCCUUGUCCGCAUACCGCCGAGACACUUUCAGAUGUUUUGAUGGAGUGCUUGCUAGAUUGGAACCUCGAUCGUAAGCUUUCUACCUUAACAGUAGAUAAUUGCACUACAAAUGAUAAAAUGAUUGAUGUUAUUCUUGAAAAACUUUCUGGUAGUUCACUUUUGUUGGGGUGGAGGGUUCUUUCACAUGCGUUGUUGUGCACAUAUAUUAAACUUAAUUGUGAAGGAUGGUCUCGAAGUGAUUGGUGGUGGUAUUGAGAAAAUUCGUGAGAGUGUUGUUUAUUGGACAACAACACAAAAAAGAAAGGAAAAAUUUGAGGAAGCAGCACGUCAGUUGAAGCUUCCAGGCACUAAGAAAAUGGUGCUUGAUUGUAAAACUCGAUGGAAUUCCACCUUUUUAAUGAUUCAAUCUGCUUUGAUUUACAAGGAUGUUUUCCCUCGUUUGAAACAACGAGAGUCGCAAUAUAAGUGUUUGCCUGAUGAUAGAGAUUGGGAGAUGGCAAGAGAGAUUUGUGAGAAGUUAAAGUUGUUUUAUAAUGUCUCCGAGUUGUUUUAUGGAACUAAGUACCCUACAACCAAUCUUUAUUUUCCAAAGAUUUGUGAGAUCAGGUUGUCGCUAACUCGGUUGCUUACCUCUAGACGUGAUGAAAUAAAAAAUAUGGCAAGAAGUAUGAUUGAGAAAUUUGAUAAAUAUUGGAGUGUGAUUCAUGGAAUAAUGGCUGUAGCUACUGUAUUGGAUCCAAGAUUCAAGAUGAGGCUGAUUGAGUAUUUCUUUCCGCUUAUGUAUGGGCAAUAUGCUUCGAAUGAAAUUGAUAAGAUUCGCAAAUAUUGUUAUGAUUUGAUAAAAGAGUGUGGAUCUAAUCAUAGUUCUAACAUGGGUCAUCAGCCAUCAUUCACUUCAUCUCAUUUGAAUCAAUCUGACUUUGAAGAGAUGAAUCCUUUAAUGGAUAACUUUGACUUGUUUGUUUCUAGUACUGUAAGUACUGAUAAUGAAAAGUCAGAAUUAGAUCACUAUUUGGAUGAGGCUGUUUUGCCUAGACAUCUGAUUUUGAUAUUUUGGGUUGGUGGAAAUCAAAUGGGACUAAAUAUCCUAUCUUAAGUGUUUUGGCAAGGGAUAUAUUAGCUAUUCCUAUAUCUACAGUUGCUUCUGAAUCAGCUUUCAGUACUAGUGGGAGAUUUGUAAGUCCACACCGUAGUAGACUUCAUCCAAAGACAUUGGAAGCCUUAAUGUGCGCCCAAAAUUGGUUGUGGAAAGAAAUUCAAGGUACUCCAAAGUAUUAAUUUAUUUUCAUCUUAUAUUUGUGCUGCUGUGCAUGUUCUUUAAUCUUAAUUUCGAACUUAUUUUUCAAACUUAAUUAAUUAGUAUGCAUUCAGUUUUUAGAACUAAUUUAAGUCUUCAAUUUCAUGUUUCACAACUAGCUUCUUGUUCUAAUGCACACGUUGGUUGUUGCACUUAUUUUGAAGAAAUGGAUAUGGAUGAGGUAAGUAUUGGCAAUUAUAUUAUAUGUAUAUAAAUAUCUUCUUUGUAGAUUAUAUGUGUACAACGAUUCAUAAUAAUUAUUUCGUCAUUUUCUUAAUAAUGUAGGAUUCAUGCUCCAUUGAUGGGUGUGAAGGAGGAGAUGCAGGAGCACCAUGAAAUAAUGAUGAUGGCAGCCUUGGCGGAACUAGAAGCAAAUUGCAUAUAUCUCGUUCUUUUGUCGUCAAUAUAUUAUUAUGUUUUUUGUAAUUGGAAGUCGGAUGAGUGGUUGGAUUCUUUACUGUUAGCAUAUAUUUUCAUCAUUUCAGCCUUUUUGCUGUGAAUUAUAUCUGGAUUUUGUUGCACUGUUUGGUCAGGUUUUGGGGGUUCCUUUAUUUGUUUCAUUCUCUGUCAUUUUCUUUCAUUUUGUUGAUGCAGCAUCUCUCUGUUCUGUGUAUUGUUCUUUGUUUUAAGGUCAGUUUUUUUUUUUGUUGGUUUUCAGUUCGUUGAUCUAUGACUCUAUGUUUAGAUUUUCGUUCGUGUAUGAUUAAAUGGAUAUAACCGAUAACCGAUUGAAAAUCCGUCACCCGGUGGAUAUGGUUAUGGAUAAUCCCCGAUUGGUUAUUUUACGGUUAUGGGUAUGGCUAAUUUUUGUGGUUAUGGGGAUGGAUAUUGCUUUUCCGUCCCCAAACCAAACCGUUGCCAUCCCUAGUAGAUUGUGACAGCCCGUCCCUAAUCUUAUGAGUUUUUAAAGUUUUAAUAAAGGAUUUUACAAAAUUGCCCCUUGAGGUACGCAUAUUUUUCGAGAUUAAUAGUCAUGUCGUGCCAUCUAAGAUUUGUUUUCUUGACAUAUCAUCGUAGUACUCGUCGUUACGGACGCGUGGGCGCAGACGGUUUGUGAUUUGGAGUUAUAUCGAAAAAGUUAUUGACGUUUGAAAUUUGGGAAUUUUAGGAAUUUUAAUUUUAGUAAAAUAUAGAAUUUCUUUUAUGAAAAUAGAUGGCCCAGAUUUAAUGAAGAAUUAAAUGGAUGGCUGGGAUGAGAGAAAGAAGAUUUUGUGUGUGUGUGUGUGCGUGAGAAGAAGAAGAAUCAGAGGAAAGAGAUUGGGCAGAAAUGCCCAAUCGGGAAAAAAGAGAAGAAUGGAUCAUGAGGGAGUGAGAGAGAGAGUUCAGCGAAUGGAGAGAAUAGAGAGAGAAAAAACGACCAAUCGGAACAUAUGACAGGAGGAAAUGAGGGAGAGAGUGGCGCGGGGGAUCGGCCGGAUCCCCCUUGGCCCAUUUUUGACCCGUCGGCAUCCAUGCCUAUUUUCGACGAUUUUCACCCGUUUUUCCGGCGAAUUGCUUCAAGAAACUUCAUAGGAAACACUCUAGGAGCCUUCCUCUAUCCAUUCCAUCUCAAAAUUGGAGAGAUUUGGCUUUGAAAAUGGAGAAAACCGCAAGGAGGGGUGCGGCGACUUUGGCUUCGAAUCACCCAAUCCCGAAGCAAUUUCUUUCAAUUGCCACCACCCAUAGCUUCCUCUUGAGGCCUAGAACAAAGCUCAAGCAUUGAUUGGAACGGCGGAGUUGAUUUGAAGACGAAUUGGAACUCACCCAAUUCUAGGGUUCUUCACGGUUUUGACGAAAUUGGAGCCUUUCCAGGCCAAAUUGGCCUUGGCCUUAGGUAUAAAGUUUACUCUAAUCGUUGGAUUUUCCGGCGAGCCGGGGAGGCCAACUGCCACCCGCGGCGGCCCAUGCGGCGGCACAUGGCCAGUGGCCUGCCAAUGUCAUUCUUAGCAUGUGUUUAAUGUUCUAGGUUCAGUUUUGAUAAUUGAUUGAUGUAAAUUGAGUAAUUGAACCUAAGUUAGUUACGAUCCGUGGUGAGGUGAAAAUGUGAAUUGACGAUUCGAUCGUCGGAUCGUCACCAAACUUUGAUACAUUGUAACACGUAAUAUUUGAGGAUUAUAGAAACUGACGGAUUGGGAAUCUGAUUUACGGAUCUUCCGGAAUUGGAGUUGUAAGUUCAUAAAAUAGAAUGUUAACUGUCACUUGGUUUUGACAAUUGGCGGAGAUCCGACCAUUGGAUGGUAAUGGAAUUUUAGGAUGUAGCUCUAGGGAUAUAUUGUGAAACUCUGGAAGUUAUGGAUUGGAAAUCUGAGUUGUAGAUCUUCCGGAUCGAUCUACAUAGUGACGUGUUUUAUAUAAGUUAUAUAUUCUAUCGAUAUGAUUUCUGAGGUUUGAUUUGAUGAUUGUUCUAGGCGCCGAUCGUCAUGAUGCCUUGAUGUAUUGUGCUAGGGAGUUGUAGGGCGAACUCCAGGUGAGUGGGCAGUAUUUUCUGUAUUUACCUAUAUACUACUGAAUUUCUCAGAAAUUGAAUUUAAAUGAAAGUUUAAAAUGCCAUGCAUGCAUAUUAUGAAUUAUAUGAAUUAGUAAUUGAUGCAUAUAUAUAUAUGUAAAUUGGUGUUGUGGACGCACAUGCGAGUAUCAGGUGAGUUUUAUGUUAUUUAUGUGAAUCAUUGAUGAUAUGAAUUGUGUUGAGAGCUCAUAACCUGCACCCCUGGUGUUAGUGCUUAUAGUAUUCACCGCACUGCACGCUCACCUUGGAUCCAAGUAGGUGCAUGUCGUACAGACCAUGAGAGGGUUCCGACAUGCUAGUCGUACAGACCACUAGAGGUGGUUCGGACUGGUAGGUGACCUUAGAUUAUGUGCACAGAUGAUUGAUGAGAGAAGCACUAGAGCGUAUUAUUACACCAUUCUUAUCAUACAGACUACUUUAGGUAGUUCCGAUUUAUGUGUAGAGUAGUGCCGUACAGGUCACAGUGGUGACUCCGGUUGGAUUGGAUAUUGAGCUAUAGAAUUAACCGAACAGGACCAACUGCAGGGUCUCCGGUUGAUUCCUUAUUCCACCUGUUAUAUUGAUACAUCUUUAGUAUGUUUUGAUGCAUAGCAUGUCAUAUUUUCUCGAAAAGUGUUAAAGACUUGUGAUUUGAGUUUUGAGAUUUUAUAUGGUUAUAUAUAUUAUAUUUUUUAGGAAAGUAUACAGGUUUUACAGCGAGGGGUUAGAAAUGUUUUAAAUAAAAUAUUUUCGAAAAACUUUGUUUUACUAACCCACUCAAUUUUGUUUUGCGCCCCUCCAGGUUCAAGUUAGCAGAGCUUUGGUGGCCACGAGGAAUCCAACGGUGUUCUGACAGAAUUCACAAAAGUAGGAUUCACCCCCGGGUGUUAUAUCUUAGUAAUUGUAUCUUUAAAGCUUCCGAACUGUGUAAAUGGUUACGUCACUCUCACAUGACGGCCAGCAUGCCCUCCUUCGGGACCGGGUGUGUCAAUAUGUCCCCUCACUCUUUCUUGUAAUUUUUUAUAAAGAGGGAUAAGGUGUAUGUCCUCCCUUUUUUUUUUCUAGUAAUUUGUUUUUCUUGUUUUAUAAGGGAUAAGUUUAUGUCUCCUUAACUAAGGGUAACCUUUUUUUUUUCAUAACAAUAAACUUUGCUCGUACUGCCGAGGUUUUUCAAUUCUUUCUUGUAAUAGCAAAGGAGACAACUUCACAUUUUAAAAGUAAAAUGAAAAAGGAUUUUUCCAUGCAAUAGGACAUUAUUACAAAAGUCGACCAUUUGUGUUUGCGUAGCCGUAAGCUACUACCAAACCAAGAAAUAGAAAAGGGCCAGUCAUUUUCUUAAGAUAACAUUAAUCUAUCUGAUCCAAGAAAGCCUUGAAAUUCUUGUUCGAAGACCCCCCUUCACUCACAGCCUCUCUUGCCAAAUCUUUCCAUUUCUUAGCAUUCCUUCUCAUCUCUUCACCAAUCUCCCCACUUCCCAUGACCAACUCCAAACACCUCUUGAACUCCUCACCCGUAACAAUCCCCUCCUCAUUUUGUGUCACCCUCAAUCCUGUCUUCCAAGUGUCUUCUAUCAACUUGGCAUUCGUCCCUUGGUCCGUCCACUGAGGAAACGCCACGACAGGCACCCCCGAAACCAGGCUCUCCAAACUUGAAUUCCACCCACAAUGUGUCACAAAGCAACCCAACGAAGGACUCGAGAGAACCGCCACUUGACUACACCAUGGCACUAUCCUCCCGAGCUCUUCUAAUUCCUCUCUGCAACUCAACAUCUCUUCUUCUUUCUUCGCCUCGUUAUCGUCUCCCUUCUUCUCGACUUUAUCUCUAAUAACCCACAAGUACGGACGGCCACAAUCCAACAACGCCUUCGCGAUUUCCUCCAUUUGGGCCUUUUCCAACACAGAAAUGCUUCCGAAGGAUACAUAAAUCACCGACCCUUCCGGCUUCGAGUUCAGCCACUCGAGGUACGAAGAGUCCUUUGAUUUUUGGAAAAGAUCGCCUCCAAAUGACUUGUCCGAUGGAACCUUGCUGUCCAAGGAAGCAGACCGAAUCAGUGGCCCGAUUCCAAUCAAAUUGUACUUGUCAAUUGCUUUUAAGGCUUCUGGCUCUAGCG
rnacentral:lncRNA from 1 species